CAACGACUCUCGGCAACGGAUAUCUCGGCUCUCGCAUCGAUGAAGAACGUAGCGAACUGCGAUACUUGGUGUGAAUUGCAGAAUCCCGUGAACCAUCGAGUCUUUGAACGCAAGUUGCGCCCGAUUCCUUGGACGAGGGCACGUUUGCCUGGGUGUCA
rnacentral:rRNA from 1 species